AUAAUAACCAAGUGGCGGCCCUUAACGAAAAUAUAACCAAACAACGGAAUUUCAUCAAUCGGAUGUCUAAUAUGAAAUUAGGGCAUCCAAAUUAGCCUAGGAAGGUCCACGCACCGCUGCCACACCGGAAAAUUCAACUAUUUCCAAAAAUUCUAAAAUUUUACAGAAAUGAAAAUCUCAAUGAGUAGUGCAAGUUUUAUACAUGUGGCGAAGUCCAAUCUUGCUGGGAAAAGCCCCAAUUUAGCUCACACUCAUCAGAAACCCUAUAAUGGGUGAGCUUCAAUUCGUUGCCGCCGAUGCUCUACCGCCCCUACUAUCGGUUGGGUCUUGUUCCUGGGUCCAAGGGGAGUCUAAUGGUGGUGGAGAUCAAGGGAAUUUGCUUCAAAAAUUGAUGAAUUGCCACCAAGAACUUCACAGUGGCGACGCCAUCAAUUACCAUGAAAUGGGCUUAAUCCCUUCGAAUAUGUGGUGAUCAAUGAAGAAGGAGGGGCAUGAUGAUGUUUGUAGGUGUUAGAGUGUCCUAAUUUUUCGAAAAAAUGGCGGAGAUUGUACAAAAAAGGCUCGGGAAGGUCUUGAUCGAAGGCUGGGUCACGAUUUAGAAAUGGGUUAAGGGAAAGGGGUCUUGGUUGUGUGCCUCUCCACUUCCUCCUUUCCCCUCCUUUCUUAUGUUUCUGAUUUGCCAACCUUCUCUCUCUUCUCCCGAUUCAGCCCCUCCCUCCUUUUUCCUCAUUCUCCUUCCUCAGGUUGGGUACCAGCCCUUCUCUCCUCUGUUCCUUCUUCUCCUUUCCCAUAUUUCUCUCAAAAAUAUUUUUCAGAUUCGUAGUUUCGUAAAACCUCCAUCGUAGCUCCGAUUUCAAUUCCACUUGCAUCUACGCGUUCGCACCGUCGAGUACUUCUGGAAUAUGGUAAAGUAAUAGUUCAUACGUGUCAUGAACUAGCGGUCAAUGAAAGUCAAUAAUCUUGCCUCCAGGUCAUUUUUGUCAAUUCACGCUUUUAAAAAUAGGGUGUGCGAAUUUUUACUUCUCACACACCCUUUGUUAAUUUCUGCCUUUUGAUCUUCUUUAAUUCAGUGGAUCUGAUGGCCGCAAAUUAAGAGGGUGUGUAUGAAGUAAAAAGGGGUGUGUGGAUAGCACACCCCAUAAAAAUUAAUAAAACCGUAAAAGUAGGGAUGGGUUGUCACACCAGCGCCCCCUCGGCCCAAGCCAAGCCAACACUUGGCAUUCGCUAGCCACCCCGUGCUGCACCGCCUAAUUGCGGUAGCUAAGCUGUCAUGGCAAUAGCAACAUAGCAGCCCACAUCUGCACAAUUUCCCAAGUUCUCGACCCCCGUCGAGCCAAAAUUCAAGCCCCGAGUCUCCAAAAAAUCAAGAAGAAAGAGAAAAUUAAUUUUUUCUUACCUUGGAGAAGAAGAAAAGCAACGGAACACAAUUGUUUGCACGGGCAAGCGAAGAAGAUUGCUAGGGGAGGGGAAAUAUCCUUUGGCUUUCUCUGUUUCUUGUGGAGUUUUAGUUGCACUCCAAAUUUAUUUAAUCCCUUGCUUGACACGGACUUAAAUAGGUUUUAGUGGCAAUUACAUUCACUUUCCUAGAAGAAUUUAAAUUCCAACAAAGAGGGAAUCUACAUUAAAUUAGGACACAAACUCCAUUGAAACUUUGGAUUCCUACACCUCUUGCCCUUUCCUGUGAGCAGCCCAGCAGGUGUGGGGCAUUUACGGAGCAAAUAAUAAACCUAAAAAUCAUGAAGUUGACAUGUGGAUUUUUUCCCAAGAAAGGUAAGAUUGCCCUUAUAAAAUGAGCAGGGAGCAGCCUCAUUCACCAUGCGCAGUUAAGGUAGAGCAGGCAGAGAUCAAUGACUGCUCAAGGCACCCUUGCCUAUAGGAAAAGUCAAAGGUAUUUAUGAUAGAAUAAUUCGUUAUUCUUAUCAUAAAUACAUUCCUAAUCAGAGAAAACCUCUUUAAAGUAAGUCAUCCUAAUCCCAUUUAUUUAGGAUAUUUACCUAAUUACUCCAAGAUAUUUAUUUACACAAAUAUCUUGAAAUAUUCUCACCCAAAAUACCACAUAGGGUCGAUCACCCCUAAACCCUAGGUCAGCCCAUCUCCUCCAUUUCUCCUAUAAAUACCCACUUUAUCUCCAAAAUCUAGGAAGCUUGAGCUACCCCUAAAGGCGCCUUUUUGCUUCCCACAAACACUCGAACACAUUCCUUUCAUAAUUCUAACUUUGGCAUUGAAGAUUCUUCAGCUAAAGCCCCCCAUUCAUCGUGGGCGCGUGAGGCUUUUGACUUUAAUUUUAGGUGUUAUUAUUUUGCAGGUUCAUUUUCGUCAAAUGAAGAGACGGGAGAAAUUUGCAUCCACAUAUAUAGUUUCGUUUCAGGUUAUCAAAUUAAAUACACAAUACUAAAUCGCGUAACGAAUGGUUUGGGAUCAAUUUGGUAUUACAUCCCAAAAUUUUGGAAAUUUCGAUUUGAGAUUGGGAUUUUUCGAUUUGGUUCAGGAUUGUUGGGAAUUUUUUUCCAGUCCCAGUUGUUGGUUAAAAAAAAAAAAGGAAAACUACUUAAAAUGGCUUGAAAACUUUGAGUUGUAACGAAAAUGACAAAAUAAAGAGUAAAGUGAAUAGUACAUGUGGAUGCAAAUUUCCGCAUUCUUCUUCUUGGACAAAAUUGCACCCACAAAAAAAUCAACACCUUUGGUCAAGGCCAAGAACCUCACACG
rnacentral:lncRNA from 1 species